rnacentral:rRNA from 1 species
UACGUAGGUGGCGAGCGUUGUCCGGAUUUACUGGGCGUAAAGGGCGUGCAGGCGGUUUGUUAAGUGCAGGGUGAAAGCUCCCGGCUCAACUGGGAGAGGUCCUUGCAUACUGGCGAACUCGAGGGAGGCAGAGGAAAGUGGAAUUCCCGGUGUAGUGGUGAUAUGCGUAGAUAUCGGGAGGAACACCUGUGGCGAAGGCGGCUUUCUGGGCCUUACCUGACGCUGAGACGCGAAAGCGUGGGGAGCGAGCCGG